rnacentral:rRNA from 1 species
ACGUAGGGGGCAAGCGUUAUCCGGAUUUACUGGGUGUAAAGGGAGCGCAGGCGGUGCGGCAAGUCUGAUGUGAAAGCCCGGGGCUCAACCCCGGGACUGCAUUGGAAACUGUCGUACUUGAGUAUCGGAGAGGUAAGUGGAAUUCCUAGUGUAGCGGUGAAAUGCGUAGAUAUUAGGAGGAACACCAGUGGCGAAGGCGGCUUACUGGACGAUAACUGACGCUGAGGCUCGAAAGCGUGGGGAGCAAACAG